GCGGUGUAGAGCAGUUUGGUAGCUCGCAAGGCUCAUAACCUUGAGGUCACGGGUUCAAAUCCUGUCUCCGCAA
rnacentral:tRNA from 1 species